AACCUUAUAUUCAAAUAUGAUUUUAAAUUGCAAAUUUAAAGGUAAAUAAAAUUUUGAGGUUU
rnacentral:tRNA from 1 species